ensembl:misc_RNA Y_RNA Y RNA
GGCUGGUGCAAAGGUAAUGCGUUAUCACAAGAGACUCUUCACAUUCAGUUACAAAUCAAACUCCUUGUUCUACUCUUUCCUCCCUUUUUACUACUGCACUUGAUUGAUUAGUCUUAA